rnacentral:rRNA from 1 species
UACGUAGGGGGCAAGCGUUGUCCGGAAUCAUUGGGCGUAAAGAGCGCGUAGGCGGUCCGGUAAGUCGGUUGUGAAAACUGGGGGCUCAACCCUCAGAGGCCGACCGAUACUGUCGGGCUAGAGUCCGGAAGAGGCGAGUGGAAUUCCUGGUGUAGCGGUGGAAUGCGCAGAUAUCAGGAGGAACACCGAUAGCGAAGGCAGCUCGCUGGGACGGUACUGACGCUGAGACGCGAAAGCGUGGGGAGCAAACAGG